AGAGUUUGAUCCUGGCUCAGGAUGAACGCUAGCGGCAGGCUUAACACAUGCAAGUCGAGGGGUAUGGCGUCUUCGGGAGCAGAGACCGGCGCACGGGUGCGUAACGCGUAUGCAAUCUACCUUUUACAGAGGGAUAGCCCAGAGAAAUUUGGAUUAAUACCUCAUAGUAUAGCAACUUCGCAUGAAGUCACUAUUAAAGUCACAACGGUAAAAGAUGAGCAUGCGUCCCAUUAGCUAGUUGGUAAGGUAACGGCUUACCAAGGCAACGAUGGGUAGGGGUCCUGAGAGGGAGAUCCCCCACACUGGUACUGAGACACGGACCAGACUCCUACGGGAGGCAGCAGUGAGGAAUAUUGGACAAUGGGCGCAAGCCUGAUCCAGCCAUGCCGCGUGCAGGAUGAAGGUCCUAUGGAUUGUAAACUGCUUUUAUACGAGAAGAAACACUCCUUCGUGAAGGAGCUUGACGGUAUCGUAAGAAUAAGGAUCGGCUAACUCCGUGCCAGCAGCCGCGGUAAUACGGAGGAUCCAAGCGUUAUCCGGAAUCAUUGGGUUUAAAGGGUCCGUAGGCGGUUUAGUAAGUCAGUGGUGAAAGCCCAUCGCUCAACGGUGGAACGGCCAUUGAUACUGCUAAACUUGAAUUAUUAGGAAGUAACUAGAAUAUGUAGUGUAGCGGUGAAAUGCUUAGAGAUUACAUGGAAUACCAAUUGCGAAGGCAGGUUACUACUAAUGGAUUGACGCUGAUGGACGAAAGCGUGGGUAGCGAACAGGAUUAGAUACCCUGGUAGUCCACGCCGUAAACGAUGGAUACUAGCUGUUGGGAGCAAUUUCAGUGGCUAAGCGAAAGUGAUAAGUAUCCCACCUGGGGAGUACGUUCGCAAGAAUGAAACUCAAAGGAAUUGACGG
rnacentral:rRNA from 1 species